AGUACAGACGAGUUUGAUCAUGGCUCAGAAUGAACGCUGGCGGCAGGCCUAAAACAUGCAAGUCGAACGCUGUAGCAAUACAGAGUGGCGCACGGGUGAGUAACAUGUGGGAAUAUGCCUAUUGGUACGGAACAACGUUUGGAAACGAACGCUAAUACCGUAUGGUCCCUUCGGGGUAAAGAUUUAUCGCCAAUAGAUUAGCCCGCACUAGAUUAGCUAGUUGGUGAGGUAAGAGCUCACCAAGGCGACGAUCUAUAGCUGGUCUGAGAGGACGAUCAGCCACACUGGGACUGAGACACGGCCCAGACUCCUACGGGAGGCAGCAGUUAGGAAUAUUGGACAAUGGGCGCAAGCCUGAUCCAGCCAUGCCGCGUGAGUGAUGAAGGCCUUCGGGUUGUAAAACUCUUUAGCCGAUGAAUAUAAUGACUGUAGUCGGAAAAUAAGCCCCGGCUAACUUCGUG
rnacentral:rRNA from 1 species